rfam:Callithrix jacchus chromosome 5, whole genome shotgun sequence
UUUUUAGUAUAAGUAUAUCCCAUGCAAUAUUUGGGAUGUACUUAUACUAAAA